ensembl:misc_RNA Metazoa_SRP Metazoan signal recognition particle RNA
GCUGGGCGUGGUGGCGCACACCUGUAGUCCCAGCUACUGAGGAGGCUGAGGCAGAAGAAUUGCUUGAACCUGGGAGAUGGAGGUUGCAGUGAGCCAAGAUUGUGCCACUGCACUCCAGCCUGGGCGACAGAGCAAGACUCUGUCUCAA